UACGUAGGGCGCAAGCGUUGUCCGGAUUUACUGGGCGUAAAGAGCGCGCAGGCGGCUGGUCAAGUCCGAUGUGAAAUCUCCCGGCUCAACUGGGAAACUGCAUCGGAAACUGAUCGGCUUGAAGAUGGGAGAGGGUAGUGGAAUUCCCGGUGUAGUGGUGAAAUGCGUAGAUAUCUGGAGGAAUACCGGUGGCGAAGGCGGCAUCCUGGACCGAGAUUGACGCUGAGGAGCGAAAGCUAGGGGAGCAAACGGG
rnacentral:rRNA from 1 species